AGAGUCGGCCGGGCAGUCGCUGCCUCCCGGAAGCGGGAGGUGGAGGAAAGUCCGGGCUCCGGCGGAUCAGGUGCCAGGUAACGCCUGGGGGGCGUGAGCCCACGGAAAGUGCAACAGAGAGCAGACCGCCUAAGUCCUUCGCGGGACCGGCAAGGGUGAAACGGUGCGGUAAGAGCGCACCGCAUCGGUGGCAACACGCGAUGGCACGGCAAACCCCACCUGGAGCAAGGCCAAAUAGGGAAGCAGUCCGACCCUCACGGGUGCAGGGCAGCGUCGAUCCGCGCGCGCUUCCGGGUAGGCCGCUAGAGGUCCGUGGCGACACGGAUCCCAGAGGAAUGAUUGCCCUCGACAGAACCCGGCUUACAGGCCGACUCGUUCU
rnacentral:RNase_P_RNA from 1 species